CAGGGGAGGUGAAUGCAUCUGCUAAGGGCUCCAAAAGUCAGCCUACGUUUGGUACAACGUGGCCCCCAGUUACCCCAGUAGUCCAACAAGAACAGAUGGUUCCAGCUUGUAAUAAUAAACAAACCACUGAUCUGUAUGUCAAUAGAGUGAAUCCUGGAUGGACAGGGCUGGAGGAUGAUGCAAACAACAAUGUUCAUACUGCUGCAGGGAAAGAUGUCAACAUUGUGAGACCAUUG